GACGAACCGUGCGAACGUUGUUCGGAAUCACUGGGCUUAAAGGGCGCGUAGGCGGCUUAUCAAGUCAGGGGUGAAAUCUUUCGGCUCAACCGGAAAAGUGCCUUUGAUACUGAUAGGCUCGAGGGAGGUAGGGGUAUGUGGAACUUCCGGUGGAGCGGUGAAAUGCGUUGAUAUCGGAAGGAACGCCGGUGGCGAAAGCGACGUACUGGACCUCUUCUGACGCUGAGGCGCGAAAGCUAGGGGAGCAAACGGG
rnacentral:rRNA from 1 species